GCAGGUGCGAAAGCAGGUCAUAGUGAUCCGGUGGUUCUGAAUGGAAGGGCCAUCGCUCAACGGAUAAAAGGUACUCCGGGGAUAACAGGCUGAUACCGCCCAAGAGUUCAUAUCGACGGCGGUGUUUGGCACCUCGAUGUCGGCUCAUCACAUCCUGGGGCUGAAGUAGGUCCCAAGGGUAUGGCUGUUCGCCAUUUAAAGUGGUACGCGAGCUGGGUUUAGAACGUCGUGAGACAGUUCGGUCCCUAUCUGCCGUGGGCGCUGGAGAACUGAGGGGGGCUGCUCCUAGUACGAGAGGACCGGAGUGGACGCAUCACUGGUGUUCGGGUUGUCAUGCCAAUGGCACUGCCCGGUAGCUAAAUGCGGAAGAGAUAAGUGCUGAAAGCAUCUAAGCACGAAACUUGCCCCG
rnacentral:rRNA from 1 species